UACGAAGGGUGCAAGCGUUAAUCGGAAUUACUGGGCGUAAAGGGUGCGUAGGCGGUUCGUUAAGUCUGUCGUGAAAUCCCCGGGCUCAACCUGGGAAUGGCGAUGGAUACUGGCGAGCUAGAGUGUGUCAGAGGAUGGUGGAAUUCCCGGUGUAGCGGUGAAAUGCGUAGAGAUCGGGAGGAACAUCAGUGGCGAAGGCGGCCAUCUGGGACAACACUGACGCUGAAGCACGAAAGCGUGGGGAGCAAAUGGG
rnacentral:rRNA from 1 species